GUAACGGGGUGUUAGGGCACGACACCGGAGAGGGAGCCUGAGAAACGGCUACCACAUCCAAGGAAGGCAGCAGGCGCGCAAAUUACCCAAUCCCGACACGGGGAGGUAGUGACAAUAAAUAACAAUACAGGGUUCUUUUGGAUCUUGUAAUUGGAAUGAGUACAAUUUAAAUCUCUUAACGAGGAACAAUUGGAGGGCAAGUCUGGUGCCAGCAGCCGCGGUAAUUCCAGCUCCAAUAGCGUAUAUUAAAGUUGUUGCAGUUAAAAAGCUCGUAGUUGAAUUUCGGGAUCAAUAUAUCGGUCGUGCCAUUGGUACGUACUGGUAUCAUUGGUUUCUCCUUUCUGACGAACCAUGAUGUCAUUAAUUUGGUGUUAUGGGAAGUUAGGACUGUUACUUUGAAAAAAUUAGAGUGUUUAAAGCAGGCUUUAGCUUGAAUACAUUAGCAUGGAAUAAUGAAAUAGGACGUUCGAACCUAUUUUGUUGGUUUCUAGGAUCAACGUAAUGAUUAAUAGGGAUAGUUGGGGGCAUUAGUAUUCAAUUGUCAGAGGUGAAAUUCUUGGAUUUAUUGAAGACUAACUACUGCGAAAGCAUUUGCCAAGGAUGUUUUCAUUAAUCAAGAACGAAAGUUAGGGGAUCGAAGACGAUCAGAUACC
rnacentral:rRNA from 1 species